ACGAUACUGCAUGCAGUGUCCAAGUGUCUUGCAACUGUUGAAGAUCAAGGGAAAACUAUGGCAUCAAUUCACCAUUUAAUUAAAACUUUGAAGAGAGAAAAUGAAUGCAUGCAAGCAGGAGAAGAUGAGUUUUGCAGUUUAAGAGGAAUAAUUUCAAUUGAGUCAUUGGAAAACUUGGAUGAAGUAGAUAAAAAACUACAUGAAGAUUCAGAUUUCAAGGCCCCCAUGAAACGAAGGCUCAGCUUGCUCGGUGGGAAUAAUACCAAGGUGUGCUACUCCACAAAUCACAUCAGUCAACAAAUGAGGAUGGGAUUGGGAGAACUCUCAGAAAUUACUUGAGGAAUGCUGGAGACAGAAGUGGUGGACGUUUGCGGCGUAUUAAAGUUACUGGGGGUAAUGAAGUGUCUGCAUCUGAUUGAAUUCUUAUGUGAACUGCUGUUAUGAUUUCCCUUUUUUGAGUAUGAUUUUUUGUUGUAUUUUGUUUUGUUUUUUGUUUUUGUUUUACAUGUUUCCUCUAUUUUUGGCAUAAAUCAUGGUAGCAGAAUUUUUUAAAGUUGUGCUUAUUAUAAGUGUAGAGAAGUCUGUGGUGGGUCACAAGUAAUAGUUUUCUUAAUGAAAUGUUUUUUUCAUGUUUUCAUCUAGUGCCAUGUAUACAUUUGUGGAUAUUUUGUGUGGGUCUUGUAACAUUGCUAAGAAUGGAACUUCAUCAGGUUUCAUUCGGUCGCUAGGGUGAAUUGAACACCUCAUCGUUGACGCUAAGUACAAUUUCUUCUGGUAUAUAAAGUGUCCUGGCUAACAAUUAGUUUUUUUUUCCAAUAUGCAUUGCUCAUGACGUAAAUCUAAACCACUCAUGAAAUCUAUGAUAUUCAUAUUAACUGCCAUUAUUUAUGUGGUGCAUUGUUUGAAAAUAACAAAUAUUUACUAUAAUCAUAACAUGCCAUUAUUAUUAGACUUUUUGGUGGGUUAUUGCUUAUAUUAAUUGUUACCACCAAUAACUGUGCUCAGCGUCAAUGAUGAAGUGUUCGGUUCUCCCUAGCCACCAAAUGAAACCUGAUGCUCCCUUCCUAGCAAUGCUACCAGGUGUGGCGAGCAUUACACCACCUUGCUGGUGGAUGGGGGGUUUCAUAUGUCCACAAC